rnacentral:rRNA from 12 species
AACUCCAUUCAAUAUGUGAUCUCAUCUGACUACAGAAGCUAAGCAGUUAGGCUUGGUCAGCCCUUGACUGGGAUACCUCCAGGGAAAACAAAGAAAAGGUGCUG